rnacentral:rRNA from 1 species
AACGAACACUGGCGGCAGGCUUAACACAUGCAAGUCGAACGCCCCGCAAGGGGAGUGGCAGACGGGGGAGUAACGCGUGGGAAUCUACCCAUCCCUACGGAACAACUCCGGGAAACUGGAGCUAAUACCGUAUACGCCCUACGGGGGAAAGAUUUAUCGGGGAUGGAUGAGCCCGCGUUGGAUUAGCUAGUUGGUGGGGUAAAGGCCUACCAAGGCGACGAUCCAUAGCUGGUCUGAGAGGAUGAUCAGCCACAUUGGGACUGAGACACGGCCCAAACUCCUACGGGAGGCAGCAGUGGGGAAUAUUGGACAAUGGGCGCAAGCCUGAUCCAGCCAUGCCGCGUGAGUGAUGAAGGUCUUAGGAUUGUAAAGCUCUUUCACCGGUGAAGAUAAUGACGGUAACCGGAGAAGAAGCCCCGGCUAACUUCGUGCCAGCCGCCGCCGUAACAC